CCUGCCAAGGUCACCAUGACAACAACUGACCACCAAGAGCAGAGACAGGGGUCAUGGAGAAGCAGGGCCAAACACGGCCUCGUGUCACCUUCUUUGCACCACCCCAGAGCCAGCAGAUCAGCAUGCCCCGAGCAGCCCUGCAGAUUGGGACCAUGAUUUGGACUACCCCCUGCCCACAUCCAGCAGCCACACCAGUGCCCAUGAGCUGCAGCUCCUGGAGGAGCAGGUUAAAAACUUUGACAAGGCCAAAAAGAAAACCCAUCGUCUCUACAAACAAUUACGGCAGCAGUUCUUGAAAGAACAGGAGAGAAAGAUGGCAUGGAGGAAGAAGACAGCCGAACAGUUUAAAAAAUCCCUGGAAGUGUUCGAUCGCAGGAGUGGGAAGGUGCCCGGUGCCCCCUCCCGUUUCCCUGCGGGUGUAGGGAAGCCCUCGGAACAGGCAGGAGCUGCCGACAAAGAAGGGACCCAGUGACACGUCCAGAGAGCUCCUCCUGCAGGCCGUGCCCGGCU